GAUUGCUGUGACGACUUAGUAAUAUUCAAGCUCAACAGACCGGAAUGCAGGAUCCUUAAUUGAAUUUUGCGUGUCGAUAACCCGCUUACUGAGCAAUC